UACGGGGGGAGCAAGCGUUGUUCGGAUUUACUGGGCGUAAAGCGCACGUAGGCGGUUUGUUAUGUCGGAUGUGAAAGCCCUUGGCUCAACUGAGGAAGUGCAUCCGAAACUGGCAAGCUAGAGUAUGUAAGAGGGUCGCGGAAUUCCCGGUGUAGAGGUGAAAUUCGUAGAUAUCGGGAGGAACACCGGUGGCGAAGGCGGCGACCUGGGACAAUACUGACGCUGAGGUGCGAAAGCGUGGGGAGCAAACAGG
rnacentral:rRNA from 1 species